AAAACUGCGACUAAAUCAGAGAGAGAGAGACGGCCAGAUCGGAGAUCCCCAUCGGAAAAAAUGGAGACCGCCGGAAAAUCGGCGCCGACGGGAUGCUUCAAGUGUGGCCUCCCGGGCCACUGGUCCCGCGACUGCCCGGCCGAUCCCAUCCAGAACUCGGUCCCCAACCCUAGAUCCGCCCUUCCUCCUCCUUCGUCGUCGAUUCCCAAUCCCGCCGGUGGUGCCGCAGCAGCUGCUAGGGCCACCGGCUUCGACGACAAGCCGGCGGCGAAGCCGAAGAAGGUCCCCGCGAAGCGACCCAAGCUCACGCCGGAGCUCCUCCUCUCCGACGACGGCCUCGGUUACGUCCUCCGCCACUUCCCUCGCAACUUCAAGUAUCGCGGCCGCGGCCACGAGGUUAGCGAUCUGGGAAACUUAAUCGGCAUGUACCGGGAAUGGCACUCUCAUUUGAUUCCCUAUUACUCAUUUGAUCAGUUUGUUCAUAAGGUAGAACAAGUGGCUGCCACAAAUCAAGUAAAGAAAUGCAUCAAAGAAUUAAGGGAGAGAGUUGCCAGUGGUGGGGAUCCAACAAAGUUGCAUGAACCACCUCCACCUGAGGAAGAUGGCGUAAACAAUGACCAAGGACUUUCAACACCUUGCGAACCCAUGGAUACUGAGGAACCAAGACAACAUGUGAGAGAAUUAUCAAAUAACACCAAUGCUGAUGACUUACCACAAGACUUACUUCAUGAGAUCUAUGAGAAAGCUACUGAAGAUCCACCUCGGAGCUCACAAAGGCAUGAUGUCUUGGGUUCAGUAAAUGAAUCACAGAAUCAAGUCUCAAAUACUGUAACUAGCAAAUCAACCAAAAGCCAGAUCUCGGAUGAGCAAAAAGCUCGCAUGGAACUCAACAGACUCAAGGCAUUGGAGAAGGCUGCAGCUCGUUCCCGUUCGCAACAAGGAAGCUAACUUGGGCUAUUCGUAUUGUACAUGUCCUCCAUUGCUUCCUUUUGCUUCUAAUGGGAUGUGAAGUCAAUUGCUUCUUCAAAUGAUCCAAACCUUUUGCUCGUUUUAUUCCAAGCAAGAAGAAUGGAUUGUUCUACAUGGUGAUCUCAUUGUUGCAAUUUUGUCUUAGCUAUGACUGUAAUUGGAGGCGACUUGCUAAUAUCUGUAAAUCAAAGGGCUUCUUAGGUAAA